rnacentral:rRNA from 1 species
CGGCAGGCUUAACACAUGCAAGUCGAGGGGCAGCACGGGUAGCAAUACCUGGUGGCGACCGGCGCAAGGGUGCGUAACGCGUGAGCAACAUGCCCUAUACAGGGGGAUAAUCCAGGGAAACUUGGUCUAAUAUCCCAUAGUAUUUAGAGGAGGCAUCUUCUAUAAAUUAAAGCUUCGGUGGUAUAGGAUUGGCUCGCGUGACAUUAGCUAGAUGGUGAGGUAACGGCUCACCAUGGCAAUGAUGUCUAGGGGUUCUGAGAGGAAGGCCCCCCACACUGGGACUGAGACACGGCCCAGACUCCUACGGGAGGCAGCAGUGAGAAAUAUUGGACAAUGGAUGGAAAUCUGAUCCAGCCAUGCCGCGUGCAGGAAGACAGCCCUAUGGGUUGUAAACUGCUUUUAUAUGGGAGCAAUAAGGUCUACGUGUAGACUGAUGAGAGUACCAUAUGAAUAAGCAUCGGCUAACUCCGUG